rnacentral:lncRNA from 1 species
GGGGGCUCGGGGGGGCGGGGGGCCGACGGGUGUCCGAUCCCAGCCACUUUCGUGAAACUCCAGUAAGGAGGAGACGCCGACAUUGAAAACGACUUUCGAAAGGAAGGCUCCAAGAGCACUAAAUCCAAGAGGUCUGGCUGGUCCAGCCCUCCCACCUGCGGCUGCAGCCCCGCCCGUUUCCAGGUGGGGUUCCAGGCGACCCGGCAGAACAGAGGCCACCGCUUCCCGCUCACGUGCUGCCUUUCCUCCACCCGCCGGCCCAGCUGCCUGCAGCCCAGAUUCGUCCUGCUAAGCGGAAGUGAGCCUGAGGAAAUCACAGCUGAGCGUCGCAGGCCCUUGGAAUCUCACUCUAAGUGUAAAAUUCGCCAUCAUAUCUUCGCAGCUCAUCUCGUAAUGACAAAGAUAAUGACGAUUUUAAAAUACAUUAUUUGGGGCGCCUGGGUGGUGCAGUCGGUUAAGCGUCCGACUUCAGCCAGGUCACGAUCUCGCGGUCCGUGAGUUCGAGCCCCGCGUCAGGCUCUGGGCUGACGGCUCAGAGCCUGGAGCCUGUUUCCGAUUCUGUGUCUCCCUCUCUCUCUGACCCUCCCCCGUUCAUGCUCUGUCUCUCUCUGUCCCAAAAAUAAAUAAAAAAAAGUUGAAAAAAAUUAAAAAAAAAAAAAAAACAUUAUUUGAAGUCGUUAACCGGUUCAAGCAGACGCGAGGAGACCAACGGCCAGAGCGAGCGUUAUUUUCACAGACAGAGCCCGCCUUGUUCUCAGCUGCCGUCGGCACAGGAGACGUGGCUGGAGUUGCACGCCCACCGCGGGGCCUGGGGCUACCCCUCCGGGUCCCCUCGGAGCGUCUGUGCCUCGAGGGGCGCGGGAGCCCCGGGACCGUGGACGGGGCUCAGGUUGCGGGUGGGCGGCAGAGCCACGUGCAGCCACGGACCCAGGGAGCGGCGAUGCCCCGCGAGGCCCCUCUUCUGCGGCUCCUGGACCAGGAAACCGGGCGGAGCGACCUUGACGGGGACACGGGGCGGCCACCUGCGUCGCACGCAUCCCAAGCGCGGGGCACUCGCCCAGGACGCUCCGUGCACACGCAGGCUCCAGCCGGCAGGCGCCAGGUCGCACCGCGGCCCGGGAUUGACAGGGAGCCACAGGCCCCGGAGAUUUAUUAAACAUCCAAAGGCCACGUGUGCCCGAGAGGCCAGUCUGCACCCACUGCGUCCUGUGACCACACCGCCAGUCCGUUGCCAUUUUCCAGCCCGCGUUCUGCUGCCGGGAGCACCCUCGCUCGCGGUGCAGACGGGCAGGUCUCUCCAGGUGGGUCCUCAGUCUUACCAGACGGUCCCACGGGUUUCCCAGCGUGGCUGUACCACAUCGGUUCCUGGUGACCCAGCCCCGGCCAGGCUGCCGGGGGUAAAAUCACCCUUGGUGGUCUGCCUCCGCACCUCCGAUAACGCGGGAGUGGGGGCCUUCUUACCUUGUUCUCCACCCACGAAAAGCAGCCCCUUUCUAAACUCAGAAACUGACACAGUUUGUUGUUUUGUUUUUUUUUUUGCCAGAUUGUCCUUUGGGCCACCGGGAUAG